rnacentral:rRNA from 1 species
GAUCCUGGCUCAGGAUAAACGCUGGCGGCGCACAUAAGACAUGCAAGUCGAACGGAAGUCGUUGUAAUGAUAUAGACAUGGACGGAGAACUUGUUCAAAGAAAGUGAAAGUUGACUUACAACAAUGGCUUUAGUGGCGGACUGGUGAGUAACACGUAAGCAACCUGCCUAUCAGAGGGGAACGAACAGUUAGAAAUGACUGCUAAUGCCGCAUAUGCCUAAGUAUCAC